GGUCAAGUUAUUAAGGGUGCAGGGCGGAUGCCUUGGCACUAGGAGCCGAUGAAGGACGUGAUAAGCUGCGAUAAGCUUCGGGGAGUUGCACGUAAACUUUGAUCCGAAGAUUUCCGAAUGAGGAAACUCACUUAGAGUAAUGUCUAAGUAUCAUUAAGU
rnacentral:rRNA from 1 species